AGUACCAUUUUAUGAAUAAAGCACCAUUGAAGUCAUUGCUAUUCCUUGAAGCCAAAAAAGUGUCAGUAAAACCCAGUCAGAAUUACUGUCUUCUGAACUCCAUGCGAGAAAAUUCCAUUACUCCCAGACUCUGUUGGAUCUUCCACCAGAUUUACUCUGUCGCUCUCUGAGACUCCAUGUAACAGCAACUGCAUUUUAAUGCAAUGGCAACUACGAAAACCACAAAACUAUCAGUCAUUGUCAAAUACUUCAUAAAUGGAGACAGAGAAGGGGUUCAGUUCUCUGUGUAACAAGGACAGAGGAGAAAGGCAUCUGUAGUGUCAAAUCUACAGAGACAAGUGCACCUGGAGACAAAUGACCAGACUACCAUAAAACAGAAGCUUAAUUAUGUUCACUUACAUUUCAAAUUAUUCCCAACAAAUUACCCUG